rnacentral:tRNA from 1 species
CGGGGUGUAGUUCAGUGGUAGAAUGCCCGUCUGGGGGGCGGGUGGUCGCAAGUUCAAAUCUUGUCACCCCGA